rfam:Schistosoma curassoni strain Dakar, Senegal genome assembly, scaffold: SCTD_contig0001064
AUCCAGUUGACGAGUCCCAAAUAGGACGAAACGCGCGUCCUGGAU